GUGCCAGCAGCCGCGGUAAUACGUAGGGGGCUAGCGUUGUCCGGAUUUAUUGGGCGUAAAGAGCGUGUAGGCGGCCAGGUAGGUCUGCUGUGAAAACUCGAGGCUCAACCUCGAGACGUCGGCGGAAACCAUCUGGCUAGAGUCCGGAAGAGGAGAGUGGAAUUCCUGGUGUAGCGGUGAAAUGCGCAGAUAUCAGGAAGAACACCCGUGGCGAAGGCGGCUCUCUGGGACGGUACUGACGCUGAGACGCGAAAGCGUGGGGAGCGAACAGGAUUAGAAACCCCCGUAGUCC
rnacentral:rRNA from 1 species